AUUGAACGCUGGCGGCAGGCUUAACACAUGCAAGUCGAGCGAGCGGCGGACGGGUGAGUAAUGUCUGGGAAACUGCCUGAUGGAGGGGGAUAACUACUGGAACGGGAGCCUAAACCGCAAUCAAUAGAAUGUGCCCGGAGGGGAUUAGCUGGAGGGUGGGGUAAUGGCUCACCUAGGCGACGAUCCCUAGCGGGUCUGAGAGGAUGACCAGCCACACUGGAACUGAGACACGGUCCAGACUCCUACGGGAGGCAGCAGUGGGGAAUAGUGCACAAUGGGCGCAAGCCUGAUGCAGCCAUGCCGCGUGUGUGAAGAAGGCCUUCGGGUUGUAAAGCACUUUCAGCGAGGAGGCGUUACUCGCAGAAGAAGCACCGGCUAACUCCGUGCCAGCAGCCGCGGUAAUUC
rnacentral:rRNA from 1 species